GCAGCAUUCACUAGAAAAAUAAAAUUUUAAUAGAUAUAUGUCAAAGUUACUAUAUAGUAUUAAACAACAAUAUGUGAACCAUUAACAGUCUUCUAAUGAGGAUGGAUUAAAAGUAAAGCAAAGAGGCAUUAUUUUUUAAGAUAAAUAAAACAGAACAACAAAACAAGACAAAAUAUAAAGAAAAGGAAAACCAGGGAACUGAACCAGAC
rnacentral:lncRNA from 1 species